rnacentral:lncRNA from 1 species
AAAAAAAAAACCUUCCUGUAGCAGGUUUCCAUAGAGAGAAUAAUACGGGAGCUACUCCUGUUCAGGUGUCUCUCUUCAGUACAUUAACAAUUCAAUACUUUAGACAUGCAAUUCACUAGGGGCUCUUGUAAAACGACACAAGCACUUUAAUAAUAGUUUUAAGAAUAAAGUCUUGGGGAUCCCUGGGUGGCUCAGCGGUUUGGUGCCUGCCUUUAGCCCAGGGCAUGAUCCUGGAGUCCUGGGAUCGAGUUCCACAUCAGGCUCCCUGCAUGGAGCCUGCUUGUCUCUCUGCUUGUGUCUGCCUCUCUCUCUCUCUCUCUGUGUAUCUCUCAUGAAUAAAUAAAUAAAACCUUUAAAAAAAUAAAGUCUUGAAAUUUUCUAAUGAUUUGUCUUAUACAAAUUAAAAUAAUCCCUAGGUCAUUGAUAUAAUAAUACUUGUUUCCAUUCUAAUAUGCUUCCUAAAAUGGCAGAGACGGAGGAAAGUUACUGAAACUGCAUGGGAUCCUGUAUACAGGUGAACAGUAAUCUACCCUCUUGAGAUGGAUGAAGAGAGUGAGAGCCUCUUAGAUCAAGAGACUGAUGGUGGGAUCCCAGAGACCCCAGGAGCUUCCAAUUAGCCUGUCUUUGAUGGAGUCAUGUGAAGCCGGUUCUGCAGAUGUUGGUAAAACUGGCAAUUGGAUUCAGCUUCUACUACAGAAAGGAAUUGCUUCGGCUGGGAGCAGCCCUCAGAGAGGCAGGGAGCAGACUGGAAAACAACAAAAAGGCAACAAGAAGGUGAGAAACAAGUACCUUUUUCUUCUUUAAAGAUUUUACUUAUUUAUUCAUGAGAGAUACAGAAAGAGAGGCAGAGACAUAGACAGAGGGACAAGCAGACUUCCUGUGGGGAGCUCGAUGUGGGACUCUAUCACAGGACCUCAAGAUCAUGCCCUGAGCCAAAGGCAGAUGCUCAACCACUGUGCCACACAGGUGUCCCACAAGUCCCUUUUUCCUUCUGCCUUUUAGUCUCCUGCUGGCACCCCCUACUGGCAUGGCCCUCUAACGAAGCUGAAAGGUGGUCCCACCAGCACAGUGCCAGCUCCAGGAUCACAAAGCAAGUAUAGGGCAGCCCCGGUGGCUCAGCGGUUUAGCGCCGCCUUCAGCCCAGGCAUUAUCCUGGAGACCCGGGAUCGAGUCCCACAUCGGGCUCCCUACAUGGAGCCUGCUUCUCCCUCUGCCUGUGUCUCUGCCUCUCUGUGUGUGUGUGUGUGUGUCUCUCAUGAAUAAAUAAAUAAAAUCUUUGAAAGAAAAAAAAAACAAUUCCUAAAGGAUCUGGUGCCAGGGUUUAAAAAAAAAAAACACAAAGCAAGUAUAGAGUGUGGUUUUGGGGGUGACAGACAAUGACUGAAUAACUGCCAGUGACCCUCUGAUGACUCAGCAUCCACACAAAUGCUUCUACAUAUGUUUAAACAUCCAUACAAUAACAAGACUUCUCUCUUUUGCCCUAGAUGCAGCCAUCCUGUGUACAAAUACAUUCUCAUCCUUCCCUAAAAAGGCAGAGACACAGUACCCCAACAGUCAUGGUGCCAUUAUCUGGGAGUCAAUGACAUCAUCUAUCUCCAUGCCUUUUUAGUUACUCCUUAAAUUCAGUCACAGUCUUAUCUGAUUUUCUGUUAUUAAAGACUAAAUUUUAAAGUUAGCCUCCAACAAAACUUGUAACCAAAUAAUAUAAGGAGAAAGAGAAAGAAGAAAAUAGUUCAUAUUGACAAUAUACAUACUACAAGCUCACAUGAAACAAGCAAUAAAGAAAAAUAUAUAAAAAGAAAAAGAAAAAUAUAUAGUUGCUGCAAUCCUCAUUUCUGUAACUGGUCAUGGAGCAUACUUGAUAUUUACAACUUUUUUCCACUAACCGUUCUGUAAUUUAUGUUUCCUUUUUCCUAAGUCAGGCAUUUAGCCAGUCUAUACAUUGUACCUGAUGGGGUGACCCAAACCUUCAUUCCUGAGUGCUCAGUGGUCCUGCCUUGGUUUGGUUGCUGAAAUUCCAUUAACUUUUGCUACUGGACAUUGAAGUACUAAGAGAUGCUCUCAUGAGUAUCGUGGGUUGAGUACUGUGUCUCAGCAGUUAAUCAGUUAAUCAACUUAGUUUUCUCUUUGCAACCAGGAUCAGUAUCCCCAUCCGAUAAAGUAACUCCCCUAUUUAUUUGAUGGUUCAGUGGCAUGAGGAACAUUAAACAUCCACCUGUCAGCUUUAUCUUCUAACUCAAUAGAAGAACUAUUACUGUGACCUUCAUGGAGGCAUUCCUACCCUGGGAGUCAAGAGCUCCAGACCAGCAGAGUUUGAUGUUACAGAGAUGGAAAGAAAAAAUUCUGCAGGCAUGUUUUUAGGCAUUAUAGUGAGAAAAGCCACUUCUAAUUCCAUUUCUUGAUUCCUAGAUUUAUUCUGGCUAUGGAAAAUAUAGCAAAACAUACUGUCUUCUGAUUCAAAGUAUAUACUAUAUCUUAUAAGAACCACAUUUUUUUCAGAAUAUGAUCUCUAAACCGACUGAAUCUUGAGUAAGCCAUUCCACUGUUCUGUUAGGUCAGAUACUUCUGGGAGACAGAGAAUGUGAUGUGACCAGUGAAUUUCAUGGGCAUGAGUCCAUUGCUGCACUUCUUUUGCUGUGAAGGAAGUUCCUUAACAGAAGCAAUGUUGUACAGAAUAUAAUGAAAAUAGAUAAGACACUUUAUGAACCCACAGAUGACGGUGCAAGAAGCAGCAUUAUAGACAGGGAAGGCAAAUCCAUAUGCAAAGUAUGUGUCUAUCCCAAUGAAAACAUCUCUUUUUUAUUUCCAUGAGGGAAGUGGUCCAAUAUGACCAACCUACCACCAGGUGGCUAGCUUGUUCCUUCAAGGAAGGGUGCCAAAUAGGAGACCCAGUGUUGGUCUGUGCUCUCAGCUAGUUAGGUGCUCAGCAGUAACAGUGUAGCAGGCUACAAAGAUGAUAGUACUGAACUCAUGUAAAGCCUCUAUUCCAGACAACAUGGCCAUUUUGUACAUGGGUCCAUUAAGAAAGCACUAGGGUAGUUAGUUGAUGGACAUCAAGAGAGCAUCGUUUUGUCCAUCAGAUGAUGCCUUUUAGUGGGUGUUUGCAUCUUCACACUGUGGCCCAUUCUGAGAGGUCCAUCCACAUACCUCUUUCCCCAGACCUUGUAUCAGUCUUCCAAUCUUGUCCUCUCCAAGUCCCUGACCAUUCAACCACUGUAGAUCCAUACUUCUGAUCAUAUUUUAGUCCAGACAAGGUAAUCAUGUGUGUUGCUCUAAAUUAUAUAUAAAUUAUACUAAUGCCCCUUCAGGGCCACCUCUCAAUGGGACUAUAAUGAUGCAACCAUCCACUUCUUGUCGGUGCCAAUAAAUCAUGUAGAGCUAUUCGUAAACCAGUCCUAGUUUUUCCUCCUCCAUCAAACAAUUGUAAGAAACUUCUUAUAAGGCCAUAGAUGUGGAUUGAAAGAGAGAGGAAGAGUCACUAUUAAAGGAAUCUGCAUUCAUUUUCUUGUGUUUUUCAAUUCUGCUCAAAUCUAACAUAUUAUAUGCCAUUUCCAAUUGAUGUUGCUUGCUGCCAUGCACACCGAACCUUAUGACUUACUUAGUGGUCCGCAUUGCACUCAUUUCAUAAAGAGAUGCUCAGUUAAUAUUGUCACUUGAUGUCUCAUGGUUAGGCAUUCAGUCUCUAUCCAGAGCUAAAUACCAAGGCAGGAACUAUUUCUCAAAAGGAGAAUCAUUAUCUGUAGAAGAGGGGAUGGGUUUGCUCCAAAGCCCUAGGAGUCUGCACUGUGAUUUCCCUUUUGUGCAAGGGAUAUCCAUUUACUAUAUAAUAGAGUGAAUAGCUAUUGAGUAUUAAAUAUUCUUACAGGUAAUUUCAUUUUCUU